rnacentral:rRNA from 1 species
UACGGAGGGUGCAAGCGUUAUCCGGAUUCACUGGGUUUAAAGGGAGCGUAGGUGGGUCUGUAAGUCAGUGGUGAAAUCUCCGGGCUUAACCUGGAAACUGCCAUUGAUACUAUAGGUCUUGAAUAUUGUGGAGGUUAGCGGAAUAUGUCAUGUAGCGGUGAAAUGCUUAGAUAUGACAUAGAACACCAAUUGCGAAGGCAGCUGGCUACACGAAUAUUGACACUGAUGCACGAAAGCGUGGGGAUCAAACAGG